rnacentral:rRNA from 1 species
UGCCAGCAGCCGCGGUAAUACGGAGGGGGUUAGCGUUGUUCGGAAUUACUGGGCGUAAAGCGCACGUAGGCGGACUGUUAAGUUAGAGGUGAAAUCCCGGGGCUCAACCCCGGAACUGCCUUUAAUACUGGCAGUCUAGAGUUCGAGAGAGGUGAGUGGAAUUCCGAGUGUAGAGGUGAAAUUCGUAGAUAUUCGGAGGAACACCAGUGGCGAAGGCGGCUUGCUGGGGUGCUACUGACGCUGAGACGCGAAAGCCAGGGGAGCGAACGGGAUUAGAUA